rnacentral:lncRNA from 1 species
CAGAAAUUCGACAGGGAAGAAAAGCAAGUCACCAGGGACUGUAUCCUUGAUUAGUGGCUGCGAUCCUGCAACACACUUCAUCCUGCCCAAUCCCCAUCGAUGUUGGCAUUUUCCUACUCAAUUGAUGUCCUCAUAUUUUCCCUGCUCCAUCUACACACCAUAUAUUUCCUCAGGUGCUACAAACAAGUUCCAAACUUUAUUGGACAGGGGAAGAAGUAGAAGAAACAAGAAGUAUUAUUAAAAUGAAUGGAGUUAAAAUGGGACAGAGCCCAUACAAACCAAGGCUAUCUUCAAGCAAACAAUUUAGAAGUUCACAAUUUUUUUUCUGUCAAAUAUGUGGUGUUCGCAAAUUGAAAGCAUCUUGGAUUUCAGGUUAGUAUCCCUAGUACAUAUUUUAAAACUUAUUUAGAGAUUCAAUUGACUUAUUUUAUUUGAGUCUAUGUCCACCUUUCUCCUGAGGCAGAGAAUGCCUCUGCCACAGGUCUCAAAAUCCUCUGGUUAACACAAAAAUUACAGAAAAUGCAAAAUUCCAGCCUAGGAAUUAAACACUCUCAUGUGUAAAUUUGUGUAAUGUAGAAGUUUAAUAGCAAAGAAAGAGAAAUUGUUAUACCUAUCAAUCAAGCAGGAGCUUCUCCUUAAAAUCUUUCAACAUGAAUCACAUGGCUUAGCAGGGGUAAAAUAUUUUAGGAGCCUCCUCCUAGAGGAUCUCACUCAAUCUUACUCCCUUGUAGAACAGGCGAUAUCUUCACCAUGCGCACAAUGAAAUCAAUACUCAGAGAAGGCAGAUAAUUCUCCACGAAGCCAGAAAACUAAUAAAUGAACAACUUGGGUGAAAUGUCCCACCAGACGGUGUGAUAUUUAGUAGCCCAGAAAGCUGCCAAGGGGUUGAAUGACACUAUCUGAAGAUAUGAACCAGUUUGCUCUCCAUAGGGAGGAUUUCAUCAACAGGAAACAGAUGCCUGGAAGGCAUUGGAUUUGCUAAGUGUCUAUGCCAUAUGAUUCUGCUGUUUGCGUUUGAUUUAGAAUGCUGAGCUGACUCAAAGUCAAACUUGGCAUAAAACACUUCAAUCACACGUAGCUUUCUGGAGCAACAGACCAUGGGCUGAGGAUUGAGUUUCCGGGAGCCACAGCAAGGCUCUCCAAUGCCAUCUUUCUGUCUCACUGCUGAAAGUCAAGAAUCACAGUGCUGAUCUUCAGAAACUGUGGGUUCAGAAACUCACCUGGUCACUAGAAUUACUCUCCCCACUUUACCUCUGCUACCCCGGAGAUCCCCGAGACCAGUCCCUUUUGGGGAGCCCUUGAUGGCAUCUUCACUAGUAGCCCUUUGGCUCACAUGGGAAUACCCCCAGGGACUCCUCGCAAGAGGGCUAUGAGGGAGGCUUCAUUAUUCUAGUGUUGAAGCCCAGAGUCUCAACCUAAUCAGCGCUUUCCUUCAAGUUCGAGCCUCCAGGAGGAGCCAAGGAGUUUCAACAGCGUUUCAAAGUUCGCAGUUUGUAUUCUGCUGCACCAGAGACAUCAUUGAAUCUUACAGCUGAUGCUACCUUCUUUCCCACACCUGGAUUCACCCAAAGUCCUGGAGAACAGCACAUGGUGGAGAGAAACCCCUAGCCAAUUUUCCCUUCUGAAAGAUAAGAGCAAGACACCUGGGUGAACUGGUGGCUGAGGGACCUCCGCUCCUGGAUACAUGUCCGUAAUCAUUCAUGGAGUGAGAAAAUCGGCCUGUAUGUUACCACUAAAGAAGCUAGUCUGUAAGAAUGUAUUGAUUUAAGUAUAUAUAAAAAUACAUAGAGUAAAUUAUAACUCCCCUAGGCACAAUUUCAUUAUAUACCUUAAAAAAUACAUAGAUGCCACUCACUUCACUGCUAACAAAAAUGACAAUAUCAUUUAUCAUUCCAACCAUGGUACUUUUUUUUUUUUUUUUUUGAGUCAGAGUCUUGCUCUGUUGCCCAGGCUGGAGUGCAGUGGUGCAAUCUUGGCUAACUGCAAUCUCCGCCUCCCGGGUUCAAGCGAUUCUCCUGCCUCAGCCUCCCGAGUAGCUGGGACUACAGGCGUGUGCCACCACGCCCAGAUAAUAAUUUUUUGAAUUUUUAGUAGAGAUGAGGUUUCGCCGUGUUAGCCAGGAUGGUCUCAAUCUCCUGACCUCGUGAUCCGCCUGCCUCGGCCUCCCAAAGUGCUGGGAUUACAGGCAUGAGCCACCACACCCGGCCCCAUGGUAUUUUGACUACAAAAUGAGACACAAUACAUGAAAAAGUGGUCUACUGUGGAUCACUACUCUCAAUGAAAAGAAACAAACUAUUGAUACAUUUGACAAACCAAGACUUUCUCCCCAAAACUGGGCUGUGUGGUCCCCUAACUCUACCUGAUAGGGAAAAGAAAAGUGAGUUGGGAAUGAGGAAAGUAUUUUUUUGGAGGGAGGUUUGUUUUAGGUUGGUUUUUGUUGUUGUUAUGAUUUGACUGUGAUUCCUCCAUAGAGUAAAACACAGUCAGUUCUUGUUGUUUGUGGUUAUUAUGUUCUUUAAAGAACAUAAUUGCUGUGAGCACUGAAUUAGCAAAUACUGAACUGUUGCUCCCACGGGAAAUACAGAGGACGUUCCUUCGAGCCUGUGGUCACACAUUGUCAUAAAACAAUCGAUACACGACCUUGUUUUAUGUGUGUUUCUGUUAAAGGACACCUUGUUUAACAUACAGCAUUGAUUUAUUAACAUUGAAUUCAUGACCAACAGUACUAUAACUAACGCUUGAACAAGGCUUAUCAACACAUCUCUUUUCUUCAUACGGUACAUCAAAGACUUCUUGCACUUAGGAAUACUAGAUGGCACUAUAUCACUGUAGUGAAAUCAGCAGCAAAAAGCACAACAUGAGAAAAAUGUGGCACUAAAUAGAACACACACCAAAAGGACAGUUGUGUACAAUAUGAGAUAUAAAACAGGAGCAAGGCAGAAUGUCGCCUUGUUGAACCUCAUCUGGGAACAUGAACUUUGGGUGACAAUUUUUUCGCUGCUCUCCACAUGUCUGUGAAGGGACAUGAAAUAGCUGUGGCUAUUGAUUUGAGAGUUACAGGUAAUUUUAGGGAGUAGGCAGGUCUGUAAAUAUGAAAUCCAUGAGUAAUGAUGACUGACUGUAGAUUCUUGUCCCUAACUCUUAGGUGUACCUUUAUUUAAAGUUAGGCUCACCAAGUAGAUUUCAAGAGGUCUCUAAGAGUGGAUCUAAAAUGGAGAACAAAUGACCUCAGGAGAUGUAGAUAAAAUAUGUCUCUUCAAACUGGUUUUGCACCAGUAAUGAGACAGUGACGCAAGUCCUCUGUAUCCUCGCUGUGCUUGUUUUUGUCCCUAUUUUCAUCAUUCUGCUAGACGUGCAGUAAUACUUUUCUGUGGUUUUAAUUUGCAUUUCUCUAAUAGUACAGUUUGGCAGUUUUUUAAACAGUUAAAUAUUCAACUGCAUUUAUAUAUGACCCAGCAAUUGUACUCUUUGGCAUUUAUUCCAGGGAAAUGAGAACAAACUUGAACAUUGUGGCACAUCUAUUUAUAAUAACCAAGAACUGGAAAUAAUCAGAUAUCUCUCCAUGGAAAAAUGGUUAUUAAACAAAACAUAGUACAACUUACUAUGGAUCACUACUCCCAAUAAAAAGGAACAAACUGUUGAUGCAUUCAGCAACCUUAAUGAAUCACCAAAGAACUAUCCUAAGUGAAAAUAAAGCCAGUUUCCCAAGAUUAUAUAUGGUAGGAUUCCCUUUAUAUAACAUCCUUGAAAUGAGAAAAUGAUAGAAAUGGAGAAUAGACUAGUGGUUGCCAGGGGGUUAAGGUGGGAAUCCAUGCAGGAAGGAAGUGGCUAUAACGAUAAAAGAGAAACAUGAGGAAUCCUUGCUGUGAUGAAAAUGCUCUGAAUCUUGACUGUAUCUAUGUCAGUAUCUUGGUUAUAAUAUUGUCUUAUGCUUUUGCAAGAUGUUACCAUUGGGGAAUACUAGGCAUAAGCACAUGAGAUCCCUCUCUCGUAGUUCUUACAACUCCGUGUGAAUCUAUGAUUACCUCAGUAUAAAAAGCUUAUUUAUAAAUAAAUGAAGGAAAAAUAAAGACUUUCUCAAACCAGCCAAACUACACACCACACACACACACACACACACACACACACACACACACACACACAGAGUUUUAUUCUUUCCAAGUUUGAACUGAUUCUUAUUCCUUCUUCAGUCAUUCAACAAGCUGUUACCCUUUAAAGAGGCUAAGGAGAGAUUAAUUAGAUAUUAGUUCGUAAGAUACAUUUUUCAAAUUUCUUAAAAUAUAUGUACAUGUACAAUUUAGUGAAAGCAAAAAAAACUUUGAUAGUAAUAAUAUUGAAGAUCCAAAUCUGUAUUAAGUCAAAUAUUUAGUGAUAUAAUUUUCAUUUCAAAAUGGUUUUUACAUAAAGUAAAACUGUGUACAAUAAAGUAAAUAAUUUUAAUGCAAUUUAUUCUUUUUUUGGAUGAGGAAACUGAGGCUCCCUUCUUAUGUGGAAAAAUGGUUGGCAUUGCCAUUAGUGCAGAGUUGAUUGGGGCUAAAUUGAUGCACUCUUUGGACCAUAAAGUCAAGAGCAGAUAUGUAAAACCACGAUGUGUCAUUAUGGAUGAUCCAGUUUCUUUUUAAAUCAGAAUCUCUGGGGCAUGAACAAAGUCUUUAUAUAAGGUACUAUUCUGUCUUAUGGGCUCUCUCUAUAUGAUUUUUCUAUAUAUGCAGAUAUAUAAGGAAAGGGCUGACAAUAAUCAUGUAGGAUACAUAAAAUAUUAUUUUCUUUCUGAAAGGAAAGGGAAUGGGCCUCCUCUGGUUAAAAUUUAUAUUAGAUUUCGUAGACUGCUAGGGCUGCCAUCACAAAGUACCACAGACAGGGACACUUAAAGAAAAGAAAUAUAUUGUCUCACGGUUCUGGAGGCUACAAGUCAAAGAUCAAGGAGUCAGUGGGAUUGGUUGCUUCUGAGGCUGUGAGGGGCAAUCUGUUUCAUGCCUCUCUCCUAACUCUGGUUAUUUGCCGGCCAUUUUUGGUGUCCCUUGGCUUAUAGAAUCAUUGCUCCAAUCCCUGACUUACCUUCACGUGUUGUUCUUCCUGUGUGAGUCUGUCUUUGUGUUCAAAUUGCUUCCUUUAAUAAGGACACCAGUCAUACUGGAUUAGGGUCCCACCCUCAUCCGUGAAGUAUGACCUCAUACUAACUAAUUACAUCUUCAAUGACCCUAUUUCCAAAUAUGACCACAGACUGAGGCACUGCAGGUUAAGGCUUCAACAUAAGAAUUUUGGGGGACACAAUUCAACUCAUAACAGAUUUUCUCUCUCAUUCUUACCCCAUGGAUAGGAUAUAACAGACAAAGCCCUCUUUAGGUUAUCAAAUAAAUUGUGCCCAAGAUGCAAUGGGCGAAAAGUGUCCUAAGCAACAUAAAGAUAAGCAGCCAUUGUAAUAGAUAUAUUUUUGGCCUUAUUUUAUCUAAAUCAAAAGAUUAAAAGUAAAACUCUGAAUGCACUAUAUUUGCAAAAUGUUUACAAUUAGCCCCAUAAUUUUCUUUUGCAUUAAUAUUAGAAGAAAACUAAACAUUUUCUAAAACUUAUUACUUUCUGAAUGUUUUGAACGUGCUGAUGUAAAUUUUUCAACUCUAAGUGUAGGUGAC